rnacentral:misc_RNA from 1 species
UCCGGUUUGUCACCGGCAGUCUCGCUAAAGUGCCCAACUCAAUGCUGGCAAUUAGCGACAAGGGUUGCGCUCGUUGCGGGACUUAACCCAACAUCUCACGACACGAGCUGACGACAGCCAUGCAGCACCUGUGUCCUGGCUCCCGAAGGCACUCCCUGAUCUCUCAAGGAUUCCAGGCAUGUCAAGGGUAGGUAAGGUUUUUCGCGUUGCAUCGAAUUAAUCCACAUCAUCCACCGCUUGUGCGGGUCCCCGUCAAUUCCUUUGAGUUUUAACCUUGCGGCCGUACUCCCCAGGCGGUCAACUUCACGCGUUAGCUGCGUUACUCACAGAGUUACCUCUACGAACAACUAGUUGACAUCGUUUAGGGCGUGGACUAC